GUUUAUCAUGGAAUGUGCCGUUACCAGGGAACGUCUGGAAUAUUUCGCUGGAAAAAGCUGUCGAUCUCCCCUUCAGGCCGCAGGACCACGAUGUUGAAAAAUACAUUGAUGUCAACUUGGUAUUGGAAGAACUGGAGAACACGGCUCCUAACAAACAGCUCCUUUCAGCUCCAGCUUCAAAUUUGGCUGUAGCUGUAUCCUCAGCUCCAGCACAACCCUCUUCAGCUCCAACACAACCCUCCUCAGCUCAAGCACAACCCUCAGAUCAGAUUCAAAAUGGCACCACAUCAGCGAUAACAGGCGAGGUCAAGCCAGCUCCAUGCUCAAGCUCCAAGGUAAACGGAGCAAAGAAAGUCGUCCCAAAACCGUCCGUGACACAAGGAGCCUCCACAACGGCAGCAGCUUCAACGAAAGUUGGUCCCGCGAAAGCAGGACAGGCAAAGCGCGUACUAGUCAAUUCUGCGAAGAAAAAAAUUGUAAAGAAAAAACGGACCCGUAAGAGAGGAGCCUUUGCAAAGCAGGGGCCGCUUCCAACACCCGCGGGAACACACGCCGGGACAAUGCCGGUUGUAGGGAAAGGACCUAAGAAAGGAGCCUUUGCAAAGCAGGGGCCGCCUCCGACACCCGCAGGAACACACACCGAGACAACGCCGGUUGUGAGGGAAGGACCUAAGAAAGGAGCCUUUGCAAAACAGGGGCCGCUCCCAACACCCGCAGGAACACACACCGGGACAACGCCGGUUGUAGGGAAAGGACCUAAGAAAGGAGCCUUUGCUAAGCAGGGGCCGAUUCCUACACCCGCAGGAACACACACCGGGACAAUGCCGAAAGGACCUUUACUCCCAACACCACUUUUACCGCCAACAGAAAGCCCUCCUGCGAUAGUGGAUAAUGUCAGUGCCGAACACAAUUUAGAAUUUCCCGGCAGAAAUACCCAAAUAUCAGAUUUCCCUACAGAGUUCCCCCAGGAAGGACAAACAAACAGCAUCCUUUCGACUAAAUUCCAAUCUUGGAAGAAGACAAAAAGUUGGCGUGGAGGAAAAAAACGAGUGGCUCCAUACGUUUUUCCUAGAGGGAACUCCAUCCUCGAAAGAAUUCGCUUCCAGAAUCCAGGGCAACACGCUCCCAGUCCCAGGUUCCAGAACCGCACUUACGUAAGACCAGGAUACCAACCUUGGCGACCAAGACGGCCAAAGGAGCCUUUUUAUCAGGACCCAAUGUGGAAUUAG
rnacentral:lncRNA from 1 species